UACGGAGGGUGCGAGCGUUGUCCGGAAUCAUUGGGCGUAAAGGGCGCGUAGGUGGCCCGGUCAGUUCGUGGUGAAAGCGCGGGGCUCAACCCUGCGUCGGCCAUGAAUACUGCCGCGGCUGGAGCACUGUAGAGGCAGGCGGAAUUCCGGGUGUAGCGGUGGAAUGCGUAGAGAUCCGGAAGAACACCGGUGGCGAAGGCGGCCCGCUGGGCAGGAAGGCCUCGUAAGGGGCCGGCUGACGCUGAGGCGCGACAGCGUGGGGAGCAAACAGG
rnacentral:rRNA from 1 species